rnacentral:rRNA from 1 species
AUUGAACGCUGGCGGCACGCCUAACACAUGCAAGUCGAGCGGCAGCGAGACUAGUAGCAAUACUAGUUGUCGGCGAGCGGCGGACGGGUGAGUAACACGUAGGAAUCUGCCCUUAAGCGGGGGAUAACCAAGGGAAACUUUGGCUAAUACCGCAUAAUCUCGAGAGAGCAAAGCUGCCCGCAAGGGUGGCACUUGAGGAGGAGCCUGCGUCCGAUUAGCUAGUUGGUGGGGUAAUGGCCUACCAAGGCGAUGAUCGGUAACUGGUCUGAGAGGACGACCAGUCACACUGGGACUGAGGCACGGCCCAGGCUCCUACGGGAGGCAGCAGUGGGGAAUAUUGGACAAUGGGGGCAACCCUGAUCCAGCGAUGCCGCGUGAGUGAAGAAGGCCUUCGGGUCGUAAAGCUCUUUAGGUUGGGAAGAAGGGUAUUGGCUGAAUAAUCCAGUACUUUGACGGUACCGACAGAAUAAGCACCGGCAAACUCUGUGCCAGCCGCCGCAGUAAAAC